GUCACAGGGAGGUAAAACAUGUUAACACAGCAACUGCUGACACUUCUGCUCGGACUGAUAGACACGCCCACUUUUCUGCAUGUUCAAACAGGUGAUUGGAGAUUUGUUUCCGUGUGUAACCCAUAAGACCAUGUGAACCUCCCAGUCUGCAGCUUUCAGCUGUAUCCACACUAGGUGCACCAGUCGACAGAAAAGUCAGGUUUUGGGGAUUCAACUCGAUCCGGAGUCAGGUGGAUAGAAGAUCCUGCAACCACUUUGUCAAUUUAAAUGCAAAACAGAGAUCUGGGGAAGAGAGAUACGAUGACCCGUUCCCCUGACUUAUCUGGUCUGGGGAUCAUUCAGCUGGGAAAGACUGGAGCAGGGAUGAGUGCAACCGGAAACACCAAACAGGUGUUUAUAGAAGAGUUCUCUUCUGAGUCUGUGACGACACAAUGUGAAGAUAUCCAGAGGAUGAAGAGGACAGCUUCAGACACUACUGAAACAGGAGGAGGAGGAGGAGCAGCAGCAGGAGUAGGUGCAGCAGCAGGAGGAGGUGGAGUAGGUGCAGAAGCAGGAGGAAAAGCUGCAGCAGCAGGAGGUGGAGUAGGUGCAGAAGCAGGAAGAUAAAGAGCAGGAGCAGCAGGAGGAGUAACAGAAGGCGUACUAGCAGGAGCAGCAGUAGGAGUAUCACUACUAGCUUUGGAAUUACCAUUAGGAGUACCAGGAUGAGCAACGGGAGCAACAGAAGGCGUACUAGGAGGAGAAACAGAAGGCAUACUAGGAGGAGCAACAGAAGGCGUACUAGGAGGAGCAACAGGAGUAGGAGUAACAGAAGGCGUACUAGGAGGAGCAACAGGAGUAGGAGUAACAGAAGGCGUACUAGGAGGAGCAACAGGAGUAGGAGUAACAGAAGGCGUACUAGGAGGAGCAACAGGAGUAGGAGUAACAGAAGGCGUACUAGGAGGAGCAACAGGAGUAGGAGUAACAAGGCGUACUAGGAGGAGCAACAGGAGUAACAGAAGGCGUACUAGGAGGAGCAACAGGAGUAGGCGUAACAAGGCGUACUAGGAGGAGCAACAGGAGUAGGAGUAACAAGGCGUACUAGGAGGAGCAACAGGAGUAACAGAAGGCCUACUAGGAGUAGGAGUAACAGAAGCUGUACAAGGAGGAACAACAGGAGUAGGAGUAACAGAAGGCGUACCAGCAGCAGUAGGAGCAUCACUACUGGCUUUGGGAAUACCAGCAGGAAUAGUAGGAGUAUCACUACUGGCUUUGGGAAUAGCAGCAGGAAUAGUAGGAGCAUCACUACUGGC
ensembl:lncRNA